rnacentral:rRNA from 1 species
CCUACGGGGGGCAGCAGUGGGGAAUAUUGGGCAAUGGAGGCAACUCUUACCCAGCAAUGCCGCGUGAAUGAAGAAGGUCUUCGGAUUGUAAAGUUCUUUAAUUGGGGACGAAAAAAAUGACGGUACACAAGGAAUAAGCACCGGCUAACUACGUGCCAGCAGCCGCGGUAAUACGAAGGGGGCAAGCGUUGUGCGGAAUGACGGGGCGUAAAGGGUGUGUAGGCGGUGUAGCAAGUUAGAAGUGAACUACCUAGAGCUUAACUCAGGUGCUGCUUCUCAAACUGCUAUACUUGAGUGCAGGAUAGGAAAGUGGCAUUCCUAGUGUAGCGGUGGAAUGCGUAGAUAUUAGGCGGACCAUCAGUGGCGAAGGCGACUUUCUGGACUGUAACUGCCGCUGAGGCACGACAGUGUGGGGAGCAAACAGGAUUAGAUACCCGUGUAGUC